AUCCAUACCAUGCAGUGGCUGUUUUUCACAGCGAUGCAGCUGAAAGUUUUAGUCCCCCACAUCUCGAAGUGCUCCAGAGUUUCAGUAGGAAUUUAACCUUCAGUUUGCACGGGUCAGCUUCCCAAGAACUGGUGAACAGCCCGUAUCCAAAGAGAGGUGACAAUUUCACUGCAUGCACUGAGCAUCCUACCUGCUUUAUUCCACCCUCUUACAAUGAGAGGAUGAAGCUUGUGAACCAUGAGGGCUGCUACAAAAGAAAUGCCUCCUAUGUUAUGUCGGCUCACCAGGUCAGAGGUGGACAUUGGUGAGGUGGCAGCAAAAGCUGAACCUUUCCACCGAUAUUCCAUCACAUUUUGUUGCUGUGCGACUGAUGGCAGCAGAGGGAUGGUCUGACAAAACGGCAUUUGACAUAGAAGUACGUAUGGAGCAAAGGAAUGGCACUGAAUUUUUCUGUGCAGAAAAUGCAGCACCCAUUGCCAUUCAUCUUGCUGAGCAUUUAUGGAGACCAAACAGUGGGUGUGAGCACAGUGAGGAG
ensembl:lncRNA